GAUGAAGAACGUAGUGAAAUGCGAUAAGUAAUGUGAAUUGCAGAAUUCAGUGAAUCAUCGAAUCUUUGAACGCACAUUGCGCCCGCCAGUAUUCUGGCGGGCAUGCCUGUUCGAGCGUCAUUUCAACCAUCAAGCCCCAGGCUUGUGUUGGGGACCUGCGGCUGCCGCAGGCCCUGAAAACCAGUGGCGGGCUCGCUGUCACACCGGGCGUAGUAGAUUUUAUCUCGCUCUGGGCGUGCUGCGGGUUCCGGCCGUUAAAAAACCCUUUUAACCCAAGGUUGACCUCGGAUCAGGUAGGAAUACCCGCUGAACUUAAGCAUAUCAUAAGCGGAGGA
rnacentral:misc_RNA from 1 species